rnacentral:rRNA from 1 species
GAUGAACGCUGGCGGCGUGCCUAAUACAUGCAAGUCGAGCGAACGGACGAGAAGCUUGCUUCUCUGAUGUUAGCGGCGGACGGGUGAGUAACACGUGGAUAACCUACCUAUAAGACUGGGAUAACUUCGGGAAACCGGAGCUAAUACCGGAUAAUAUUAUGAACCGCAUGGUUCAAAAGUGAAAGACGGUCUUGCUGUCACUUAUAGAUGGAUCCGCGCUGCAUUAGCUAGUUGGUAAGGUAACAGCUUACCAAGGCAACGAUGCAUAGCCGACCUGAGAGGGUGAUCGGCCACACUGGAACUGAGACACGGUCCAGACUCCUACGGGAGGCAGCAGUAGGGAAUCUUCCGCAAUGGGCGAAAGCCUGACGGAGCAACGCCGCGUGAGUGAUGAAGGUCUUCGGAUCGUAAAACUCUGUUAUUAGGGAAGAACAUAUGUGUAAGUAACUGUGCACAUCUUGACGGUACCUAAUCAGAAAGCCACGGCUAACUACGUG